rnacentral:rRNA from 1 species
UACGUAGGCAGCGAGCGUUGUUCGGAGUUACUGGGCGUAAAGGGUGUGUAGGCGGUUGUUUUAAGUUUGGUGUGAAAUCUCCCGGCUCAACUGGGAGGGUGCGCCGAAUACUGAAUGACUAGAGUGCGGGAGAGGAAAGUGGAAUUCCUGGUGUAGCGGUGAAAUGCGUAGAUAUCAGGAGGAACACCGGUGGUGUAGACGGCUUUCUGGACCGUAACUGACGCUGAGACACGAAAGCGUGGGUAGCAAACAGG